rnacentral:rRNA from 1 species
GACGUAGGGUGCGAGCGUUGUCCGGAUUUAUUGGGCGUAAAGAGCUCGUAGGCGGCUCGUCGCGUCGACCGUGAAAACCCGCGGCUUAACUGCGGGCUUGCGGUUGAUACGGGCGGGCUAGAGUUCGGUAGGGGAGACUGGAAUUCCUGGUGUAGCGGUGAAAUGCGCAGAUAUCAGGAGGAACACCGGUGGCGAAGGCGGGUCUCUGGGCCGAUACUGACACUGAGGAGCGAAAGCGUGGGGAGCGAACAGG